AAUCAAGUAUUGAUGAUGGUUACUAAAUGACAGGUACAUUUGUCCAGAUCAUGUAAAUCCUUCUGAAUUACAGUACAUACACUAGUCUGACUGGCAGUGGUAGAAAAUUGCACCACAAUGCAAUAUACAGCUGAUCAAACCAAGUGAUACAGAGAGGCCAUUUUUAUGGACAACAAGUAAGUCCUUCAGUUUUUGGUAAAAUUGAGAACAACAACAUUUACUUUCUAGCUUCUAUUUGCUUUAUCUUCUUUUAUGGGGCUAAACUUGUUCUCAAUCAUACUAUUAAGUAAGAAGCCUUUCAUGUUUACCAUAUGGGACGAUCUAACGGACAAUGAAGGGAUUGUACUACUACAACUGUUGCACAAGCACACUGUUAUUCUUGCAAAACAAGUAGUUGUUACAGCAUACCAUCGCGAUAAGAUUGUUUUUCCUUAGUUUAUUUGAUCCUACUAUGAAUAAUUUCUUUGCUUUACUUGUCACCAUAUGUUGUUCCCGCAUCUCUAAGGUUGACAACCAGAUACAUUUUGACAAUUUUAGUCAAACCUUUAUAUGUGCAAACUACAGCAUUAAUGGAUUCGUACAAAUUAACUUUCCCGCCAUUCUAAUCCACCAUCAUUCAAGUUAUUUACAUGUGGGGAAAAAAAAAAAGAUAGUCAUUUUUACCGUGGCUUUUAGCAGGGCAAAAGACAACGAACAAAUGCUCUUCGCUUAUACUUUGAGAAGCUCAUUUGAAUCAUUUUCAUCCCUCAAUCUUGCAUCUGUUGACAAUGAAACAAUAUCUAUCUCGGUCAUUCCUUCAUUGUCAUCUAGAAUGAGUUUAAAAUAUGACUUUCACUUUCUUUGUCAAUACUGACCAACUGCUCCAUAGUGAGAUUUCUCCACUAAAAAAUAUGCUAAUAUCUCUUUUGAGUUGUGAUCUGACAACAAUAGACAUGGAAACAUUAGCUGAAUUUUUUUUCGCGAUGAGAGCUGAACAAGUGUAUGAAAUAGUCGUUGUCUAGGUACUUCGUAUUAUCUCUUUCGAGUUGUAAUCUGCAUAAGUGUUUGUUCUCUACUGACAAAUGAAUCCGUCUUUUUCUUUGCUGAUUGUGACCUCUGUGAGCUUCAUUUUUCUUUAAGUUUUGAUAGAAUGAAUUUUUGCAUUUUAAUGUGGAUCAGUAGCCUAUAUGUUGUCUUGGGAAGGCAUUUCCUUCAAGAUGAAUUAGCUUUGCAAGUGAUUCUUUGUUUCUUUUAGAUGUCUCUUGUCUUUAAAAUGUUGAAAUUUAUAAAGAGUUAUCUUCCAGCAGUCCAUUUAUGCCUAAGGGAAAUUACACCAGCAUUCCAUUUUGUUACUCAUUGUUUUUCAUAACAGUACCACUACAUUGGGAAGGGACUGGGAAGGUAUUGUUAAAAGUGACUUGUAUUGAGCAUAUUAAAUACAUGAUUUAUUUCACUAACUUAUUUUUAUUUUGAAUGUACUGGAAAAUGCCAGUAAUUGAAUUUGAAUACUGGCCAGAAGUAAACUCGAUCUAUUGUAGUGAACGAUGAAGAGUUUUUGUAUUAUUGUCAUGUAUGUUUGAAUGCAUUUGGGUUUUGUGGAAUUUAUUGAUAGUAGAGAUCUUUAAGCAAUUGAUUUUUAAGUAUCGGUUGUACAAGACAUGUUUCCCGAAAUUUAUUUGAAAUAUAUUCCUUCGAUUUAUUUAUUA